rnacentral:tRNA from 1 species
CAAAGUAUAGCUUAACUUUAAAGCAUCUCGCUUACACCGAGGCUAUGUUUGUGAAAAUCAACCUACUUUGA